CAAAUGGUCGACUAGGGUUCCGAUCUGCCUUUUCCGAGGCAGAUGACUGGUCCGAGAGUUGACGGCCUUUUCCAAGGCUACACGGCGGGACAAAAGCCCGGGAGGA
rnacentral:sRNA from 2 species